UGGAAUUCAUGAUAUAUGUAAUGGUUAGUGGAACUCAUUUGCUAUUUCAUAUAUCAAUGUUUAGUAUUUUUAAAAUAGGCAAAUACUUCCAUUCUUCAUAUUUUUAUAAUAGGUCUUGACGCCUACAACGUCCCAUUAAAGAUUAUGCCACUUAGUUUAGUGUUUUCUUAUAUAUUGUUCAAUAUACAUUUGGCAGUCAAACAGAUUCAUUUCGAAUUGAAUAAAUUUUUUAUUUCAGUUGUUUUCAAUAACUGAAAUUUAGUUUGCUUUUGGACGAAUUCCGUCAGUUCAUCAGCAAUAAAAUAGUGCACAAAACCGGGGUACAAUGCACAAUUAACCACCACAGGAAGAUAUUUUUAGUAGUUGGGAGCUACAGGAGUGGGUGCCGUUAUAGGAAAUUCAGUGUUUCUUCCAAUGACUGCUAUGCAAAAAAAAAAAAAAAAAAAAGACAGUUUGAAAAUCCUUUAGAAGUUGAACUGGUAGCUGUUUUGCAUUGCUAGAAUUUUGCUCAUGAAGAACAGAAAAAGGCUUAUAUUUUAGAAGGUUAUUCAGGUAUUGCUGCUUUGGUAUAUGAAUGAAAAUAAUUAAUUAUUUA